rnacentral:rRNA from 1 species
UACUCCUACGGGAGGCAGCAGUGAGGAAUAUUGGACAAUGGGGGAAACCCUGAUCCAGCAAUGCCGCGUGAGUGAAGAAGGCCUUAGGGUUGUAAAGCUCUUUCGCCCGUGACGAUGAUGACGGUAACGGGAGAAGAAGCCCCGGCUAAUUCCGUGCCAGCAGCCGCGGUAAU